UUUUGGGGAACUGCCUCUUUACAUUCAAUGUAUCGUACUGUAGUGAGAGAGGGGGAGAGACAGACACUACAGGAGGUGACAGCAACAGAGCCUCAGUUUGGUAAAGAUCACAGCAACUCGCCAAGAAGUAAUACCAGCAUGCUAUCAUUAGACUGUCUGAUUGUUUGCUAUCACACAAUUGGUCUAACAACAUAACUAAACUGUGUUUGUGUGUGUGUAUGUGUGUGUGUGUGUGUGUGUGUUUGUAAUGGCCCAUAUUAAAAGAAGAAUCUUGUGUGUAACCAAUGCUUCUCUUUCUUUGUGUGUGUCAUGGAAUGAGGAAGAGGAAUUAAGUGACUUGACUCUUUGCAAUUCUUUUGAAUAUGCCGCCAUGAGACCCAGUAGGAUGCCCCAAAUAUUCAGCUCAUCCCAUACUGGUCAGUGAUCGCACACGCUCAUCAUCGCACAAUCAUUCGCUGAGCAGUGAGGGAUCACCGAAGGUGCUUUAUGCUAAAAACUGCUGAGAGGAUGGAUGAAGACCAGCCAGCACAGGUGAAGGGACGGAUGGAUACGUCACCAUGGCAUCCAGCAGGAACCCACAAAAGCCCAUUACAUCCAGAAUGCCUGCCAGCACAGGUGAAGGGACAGAUGGAUACGUCACCAUGAAGUCCAGCAGGAACCCACAAAAGCCCAUUACAUCCAGAAUGCCUGCCAGCACAGGUGAAGGGACGGAUGGAUACGUCACCAUGACACCCAGCAGGAACCCAUAAAAGUCCAUUACAUCCAGAAUGCCAGGU